rnacentral:rRNA from 1 species
CUACGGGCGGCUCCAGUUAAGAAUCUUCUGCAAUGCGCGUAAGCGUGACAGAGCGAGCCAGAGUGCUUUUCAAAUUGAAAAGCUUUUGUGAAAUCUAAAAAGUUUCACGAAUAAGGACUGGGUAAGACGAGUGCCAGCCGCCGCGGUAAUACUCGCGGUCCAAGUCGCAGCCAUUUUUAUUGGGUCUAAAACAUCCGUAGCUUGUUUGAUAAGUUUCUUGUGAAAUUUCGUAUCUCAAAUAUGAAGCGUGCAAGAAAUACUGUCAAACUAGAGACUGGAAGACGUAAGAAGUACGUUCGAAGUAGUGGUAAAAUAUUUUAAUCUCGGACGGACUCACAACAGCGAAGGCAUCUUACGAGGACAGUUCUGACAGUAAGGGAUGAAGGCUAGGGGCGCAAAACGGAUUAGAUACCCUAGUAGUC